AUGGGCCUGCCUCAAUGUCCAAAAUUGCUGGGAUUCCAGGAGUGAGCCACCACGUCCGGUCCUGCCAUCAUUCUUAACAAGAGCGCCCCCACCAUCGUCCAGGGAGAGAUGGAAUAUCCAGAGAAGAACAGAGCUCACAGAAGAGUAAAUUAAACAACUGAAGGAAGGUCCCUGUGAGCUGCAGUCCCGGGAGAAGAGGAAACCCUUCAACAUGGAUUCUGGAAAGAACAGCCUUGGCUUUCUUCUGAACAAAAAG
rnacentral:lncRNA from 10 species